rnacentral:rRNA from 1 species
UGGCGAACGGGUGAGUAACACGUGGGUGAUCUGCCCUGCACUUCGGGAUAAGCCUGGGAAACUGGGUCUAAUACCGGAUAGGACGAUGGUUUGGAUGCCAUUGUGGAAAGUUUUUUCGGUGUGGGAUGAGCUCGCGGCCUAUCAGCUUGUUGGUGGGGUAAUGGCCUACCAAGGCGUCGACGGGUAGCCGGCCUGAGAGGGUGUACGGCCACAUUGGGACUGAGAUACGGCCCAG